rnacentral:rRNA from 1 species
UACGUAGGGUGCGAGCGUUAAUCGGAAUUACUGGGCGUAAAGUGUGCGCAGGCGGCCGCGCAAGUCGAGUGUGAAAGCCCCGAGCUUAACUUGGGAAUUGCGCUCGAAACUACGUGGCUGGAGUGUGGCAGGAGGAAGGUGGAAUUCCACGUGUAGCGGUGAAAUGCGUAGAGAUGUGGAGGAACACCAAUGGCGAAGGCAGCCUUCUGGGCCAACACUGACGCUCAUGCACGAAAGCGUGGGGAGCAAACAGG